rnacentral:rRNA from 1 species
UACAGAGGUCUCAAGCGUUGUUCGGAUUCAUUGGGCGUAAAGCGCACGUAGGCGGAUUGUUAAGUUAGGGGUGAAAUCCCGGGGCUCAACCCCGGAACUGCCUUUAAUACUGGCAAUCUCGAGUCCGAGAGAGGUGAGUGGAAUUCCGAGUGUAGAGGUGAAAUUCGUAGAUAUUCGGAGGAACACCAGUGGCGAAGGCGGCUCACUGGCUCGGUACUGACGCUGAGGUGCGAAAGCGUGGGGAGCAAACAGG